rnacentral:lncRNA from 1 species
CGUUGGAUGUUUCGGAAGCUAAUUAUGUAUCUCGACAAACCCAAAAUCAAAAAAAAUAUAUCAGAAGCUAAUUAUGUAUCUCUACAGAGAAAAGAAAUGCAUCUUUGUUGAAUGUAUUGUGUAUAGCGACAAACCAAAAAUAAAAAAAAAUGUAUCAAAAGCUAAUUAUGUGUCUUUAAAAAGGUAAAAGGACAUAUUCAU